GACGAAGGAUGCAAGCGUUAUCCGGAUUCAUUGGGUUUAAAGGGUGCGUAGGUGGGCAAGUAAGUCAGUGGUGAAAUCUCCGGGCUUAACCCGGAAACUGCCAUUGAUACUAUUUGUCUUGAAUACUGUGGAGGUCAGCGGAAUAUGUCAUGUAGCGGUGAAAUGCUUAGAUAUGACAUAGAACACCAAUUGCGAAGGCAGCUGGCUACACAAAUAUUGACACUGAGGCACGAAAGCGUGGGGAUCAAACAGG
rnacentral:rRNA from 1 species